rnacentral:rRNA from 1 species
UACGUAGGGUGCGAGCGUUGUCCGGAAUUAUUGGGCGUAAAGAGCUCGUAGGCGGUGUGUCACGUCGGCCGUGAAAACCUGCAGCUUAACUGUGGGCGUGCGGUCGAUACGGGCAUCACUGGAGUUCGGCAGGGGAGACUGGAAUUCCUGGUGUAGCGGUGAAAUGCGCAGAUAUCAGGAGGAACACCGGUGGCGAAGGCGGGUCUCUGGGCCGAUACUGACGCUGAGGAGCGAAAGCGUGGGAAGCAAACAGG